CAGCCUACGGGAGGCAGCAGUGAGGAAUAUUGGUCAAUGGGCUUACGCCUGAACCAGCCAAGUCGCGUGAGGGAAGACUGCCCUAUGGGUUGUAAACCUCUUUUGUCAGGGAGCAACGCCGGCUACGUGUAGCGUUAUCGAGAGUACCUGAAGAAAAAGCAUCGGCUAACUCCGUGCCAGCAGCCGCGGUAAUACGGAGGAUGCGAGCGUUAUCCGGAUUUAUUGGGUUUAAAGGGUGCGUAGGCGGAAUGCCAAGUCAGCGGUAAAAUCGCGGGGCUCAACCUCGCUCCGCCGUUGAAACUGGG
rnacentral:rRNA from 1 species